rnacentral:rRNA from 1 species
UGCCAGUAGUCAUAUGCUUGUCUCAAAGAUUAAGCCAUGCAUGUCUAAGUAUAAGCAAUCUAUACSGUGAAACUGCGAAUGGCUCAUUAAAUCAGUUAUCGUUUAUUUGAUAGUACCUUACUACUUGGAUAACCGUGGUAAUUCUAGAGCUAAUACAUGCUAAAAACCUCGACUUCGGAAGGGGUGUAUUUAUUAGAUAAAAAACCAAUGCCCUUCGGGGCUCCUUGGUGAUUCAUAAUAACUUAACGAAUCGCAUGGCCUUGUGCCGGCGAUGGUUCAUUCAAAUUUCUGCCCUAUCAACUUUCGAUGGUAKGAUAKUGGCYUACCAUGGUUUCAACGGGUAACGGGGAAUUAGGGUUCUAUUCCGGAGAGGGAGCCUGAGAAACGGCUACCACAUCCAAGGAAGGCAGCAGGCGCGCAAAUUACCCAAUCCCGACACGGGGAGGUAGUGACAAUAAAUACUGAUACAGGGCUCUUUUGGGUCUUGUAAUUGGAAUGAGUACAAUUUAAAUCCCUUAACGAGGAACAAUUG